GAUGAACGCUAGCGGCAGGCCUAAUACAUGCAAGUCGGACGGGAUCCAUCGGUAGCUUGCUCUCCAUGGUGAGAGUGGCGCACGGGUGCGUAACGCGUGAGCAACCUGCCUCCAUCAGGGGGAUAGCCUCUCGAAAGAGAGAUUAACACCGCAUAACAUAUCAGACCGGCAUCGGUCGGAUAUCAAAUAUUUAUAGGAUGGAGAUGGGCUCGCGUGACAUUAGCUUGUUGGUGGGGUAACGGCCCACCAAGGCGACGAUGUCUAGGGGCUCUGAGAGGAGAAUCCCCCACACUGGUACUGAGACACGGACCAGACUCCUACGGGAGGCAGCAGUAAGGAAUAUUGGUCAAUGGGCGGAAGCCUGAACCAGCCAUGCCGCGUGCAGGAUGACUGCCCUAUGGGUUGUAAACUGCUUUUGUCCGGGAAUAAACCUCCUUACGUGUAGGGAGCUGAAUGUACCGGAAGAAUAAGGAUCGGCUAACUCCGUG
rnacentral:rRNA from 1 species